rnacentral:rRNA from 1 species
GGGAGAGAAGGAAAUUACGGGAGAGGAGCAGAGCAGAGAGCAGAGAGCAGCGGCCGGACGCUGCAAGCCCGACCCAGACCGCGCAGCCGCCGAUCGCCGUCGCCGCCGCAGAUCGCCCUGCGCCCUCGCCGUGGCUCGCCUGGCGGGCCGGUGGUAGCAGGCGAGCAGCUCCACUCUCUGAAGCCGAGUCCCGCUGCCAUCUCCUCUACGAUCUGAUACUUGCAGCUGCAUUCCACCACUGCUUGAACUUCGUCCAAAACACUACUUGCGGCUGCAUUAAACCUCUGAUUGGCGAAGGGCUAGGAACAGAUAAGCUGACGUAUGGGCAUCAUCAAGAUCAAGCUCGCCAUGGACAGGCCGCGGAACCGUGUGUUGUUGGCUGACGCGGGCUCCGACUUCGUCGAUGUCCUCCUAUCCUUCCUCACUCUGCCGCUCUCUGCACUCCAGUCCUGCGCAAUAGGCGCGUCAUCCUUGCGGGGAUGCCUCUCCAACCUCUGCGACAGCGUCGACCACCUCAGAAACAGUAGCCUGCUGAAGGUUGAGGCCUGCCAUGGCAUGCUUCUCACGCCUGCUCACACCAAUGAGUUCCAGCUCUGCAAGUCAACUCACAGUACCAAUGACCUUGAGAUUUCCAGGCUCUGCAAGUGUUCCCUAGUUAUGGCUAGAGUGUUGCAUGUCUACGAGCAAGUAGGCUGCAAAGAGACGUUUGUAGGUGGCAAAGAACGGUAUGUGAUCAGUGAUGACAUGAAAAUCAAGCCAGCAUCCACCAGCACCAUGCUAUUGCUGCCUCAGGCGUUCGAUUCUGAUGGUAUCGGUCAUGGCUUUGAGGAGGUGGAAGUGAGCGUCUCCAGGACACAAGGAACUGAUAAUCAUAAGGCCACUCAUGCCACUAUGACACCGAUCAUCCGUCAGAAUAUUAUUCCAUUGGAUCAAGAUUCUGCAGGUUCAGAAUGGAAGAUAAAGGUCUUUUACCACACCCGUGAAAAGAAGGUCAUGUAUGCCGAAUGCAACCAUGAGUUUGUCGACAUGCUCCUCGGAUUCUUGACUUACCCUAUCAGCUGUGUGAUCAAGAACAUGGGGGCUGGCACUUGCCAUCUUGGCAGGUGCUUCGACAAUCUCUAUAGAAGCGUCACUGAUCUCGACGAUGUUGGGCGCUUAACAGGUGUCCUCUCCAAUAUGAUGUUCAUGGAUCCAGGCGUUAUGCCAUUUGACAUUUUUACCAACAUCAAGUCAUACCGGGCGCUUGCCUGCCGGUGCCCGAAGGAUGAUAACACACAUUAUUGCUGGCAUCCUGAGCUUGUUGAGGGUGGGAACUAUGUCGUCGGCGAUGAUCUACUUGUGCAUCAGGCCUCUGCCAUGUCUAUCAUGAAGCAUUGGUGUGGGAUAGACAAGGCUAACGUACUGCAGAUGGGCAUUGCUGUCGGGAAACGGGAGGCUGUUGCGCUGCUGCGAGCAUUGCUGACUUCAGAGACGGCACUGACUGAUGUGUUCAUCAGCAGGCUGGAGGAGAUGCAGAUAUUUGUCAAGUUCCCUUGGGGUAAGACCAUAACCGUGCAGGUUGUGAGAUCCGAUACGAUUGCCACCAUCAAGAGCAGGAUGAAGGAUAAGGUGUCGAUGCCGACUGGAUGUCGUCAUAAAUUGCUGUAUGCUAGCAGAUAUCUUAGAGACUCGUGCACUGUUGCUGACUAUAACAUCACCAGAGAAUCUACCAUCACCUGUGAAUUUCACAAGCUGAUGCCUACAGCCGGUCAGGAUGAAGCCUGAUCAACUUGACGGCUACAUCCGGUAGAUCGAGAUGAAGCUCUGGUGGCAGUUUUAUUUGCCUCUGUUUAGUUUGACCAGUGGUGGUGCCAUGUUCUCCUAUUUGGGCUUACGCCUGCCUGAACACUUCCAUUCCAAGCCACAAGGGGCACCAGACAAGUUUACAAGAAGAUUUGUAAGGAGAAAAGGGGAAUUAAAUUACAAAGAAUGCAUUCUCCCAGAGAGGUGAAACAACAUAGAAGCCCAAUCUCGCACAAGGGCUUGUUUCGCAAGGCCCUGACAUUCACGCUCUCCUGUAAAUCUGUGAAUUUGGUUGAUGCUAAAAAUCUGUAUCACAUCACUAUUAGUGCAGCAUUGCCUGUUAUAUGACAGUGUGUUUGUCUACAGUGAAGCAUGGCUAGAUUCUCUGUCUUGAUGCAAGGCGACAUGAUCAUCGAUGACAUUUAGACAUCCUGCUUCGGUUUUGGUAUAAGCAUCAUUCAGAUAAGAACUAGCAACAAGUUAGAUUUUUAGUAGUAGCCUAGAUUUUUUUCAUCGAUAUGCUUUUUUUUUUGAGAAAUCUCGCCGACUUUACUAAUCUUUAUUUUUACAUAUAUACAUACAUACAUAUAUAUAUAUAUAUAUAUAUAUAUAUAUAUAUAUAUAUAUCUUUCCCUACUAAUAAAGCACGGAGUGCUUCUGCCCGUCCGUCGUCAACUUUUACAGAAAACACCCUGAUUUUACUGAUAAUCAACCCGCAAUCCUAUUAUCCAGUCAACCUGAACCGGUACGGGCAACAGAAAAGAAAAAAAACACCCGAGACCCACGACCUUGCCUCCCAUCCAUCCAUCGCGCGCCGCAACCGCCGGCCACCACCCAUCCGGCGCGCGCCGCCGCCGGCCGCUCCUUCCGCCGCGCGCCGCCGUCGCCGGGCCCACCCUCAAGUAAAGGGAACCAAACAAAUUUCCUACAGAGGAGAAGGGAACAGAACAAAUUUCAUCCGAGGAGAAGGGAAAAGAACGAAAUUUCCUCCGUAAUGUGGAAGAGGGAGCAAAGGAAAGUGAAAUGGAAUGUGAAGGAGGAUAAACUCCCAAGUGGAACAAGCCGAACGCAUCGAUCUCCCUAAGAUAGAGUGGUCGUGGUUGCCUUGGCGCUCGCGAGCUAGCAACUUCGGAGCAGAGGAAGAGAGGGGGGGCCAUCGGCCCAGGCGCUGCGGUCGGGAACAAGGACGAGUCCAGCAGCUACAAGGAGAUGACCGUGUCGCUCCUGACCGGCACCGGGAAGUUCAACAUCAGCGACUUCGUGCCGGCGCUGUCGUGGCUAGACCUGCAGGGAGUGCAGGCCAAGCUGCGCCGAGUGCACCGCCAGUUCGACGGGCUCAACACGAAGCUGCUGGUGCCUGGUGGAGCACGCGGCAACGGACGAAGAGCGCGCCUGGGAGGAGGGCCGGUUGGACUUCGUGGACAUGCUUCGGUUGGUGGCUUGGAGCAGGCCGGGGCGAGGCGGAAAACGCGAGUGCCGAGCAGAGGACGAAGCAAGGAUGAGCGGCGCGGGAUCGGCCGGACCUCUGGGGGGCGUGUCGCAGGUGGCGGAGGCUGUGGGCGGGGCCGUCCGAAUCGGAUUGGAGGCGAGGCUGCUGGCCGGAUCCGGAGCGGGCCGGCGACUGGGGCAGGACGGCCAGAUCAGACCCAUGGCAAAGGAGCUUCCAUGGCGCCUAUGGGUUCCUCACUGAUAAGGGGUGAUGCCCUGGCUCUGGCCAGCCACCACGGCCGCGCACACUCCAGGAGAGUGGAGUGCAUCGUCGGCACAACACAUGUAGAAGAGGAGGAGCAACACUGGGUGAUAGUGGCUGGAGAAGAGGAGGAGUAGCGCUGAGUGAGAAGAAGGAGUGGCGAUGUGGAUAAGGCAAGCAGAUGGGUAGAUGGAUGAGAAGGAG